AUAAGUUUACACAUAGCCACCACCAAUUGGUGAACUUUACAAUAACAUUAACAGCAUCCUCAAUGAAUGCUUUCUAAUAGAGCCAAUGAAUAUGUAUGGUACAUAUAAAACAGUAUAAAUCUCCUAUCCACAAUCCAGUAGCAGCAUCAUCUUCAGCCUUCUGGUACAGUUUACAUGAGGUUCAUCUAACAAGCACUAAGUCUCAUAGAAGUUAGCUAUUGUCUAAAUUUCGGGAUUCACCUGAAUUUACUUGGAUCCUUCCCAGACCUUGUAGUCUCUUCCCUCAAUAACCAAUGACCAUCCACUGGAUCCGCUAGACGGUUCGAAAUGGCCUGGUCCAAUCUUUACUGCAACUUUUUCAUCGAUGGUGGCUG
rnacentral:misc_RNA from 1 species